CUUGGCUUGAAGCUCCUCUGGUUCUUGAGCCUUGCAGGCUGAGGACUAGGAGGACAAUUUUCCCCUCACUUGUCAGAGGAUUCCUGGCAUGUCCCAACACUUUGUGAAUCUCUUCCUACCCUCCACCUCCACUGCCACCCACUUGGAUGGAGGACAUUGCUGAGGAGUUUGAGGUCUGCAAGCCCGGGAGCCCUGUCUUGGGAGUGUCUUCUUAGUUCUUCCAGGUUUCCUGCCGGUCUCCCAUUCACUGCCCUGUUUUGCCCGAGGUGCUAGAGUUAGAGGACUCCUGGGGGUGUGGCAGGGAGAGG
rnacentral:lncRNA from 1 species